GUAGAUCCUAUGAGGAAUAUUUUUAUUCCGCACACUUAUAAUACGUACCUUUAUUGUGUACCAAGUGACUGCACAUUGAACGCGAUAGUUUUCUAGUACGGGUAUGGACAGCAAGCCUGCAUGACAGCAGGUGCCACCGUUGCUUCUCUGUCCAGAGCCUCGCCCUGGGUGCCUCGGCGCUGCAUCUGAUUCAGGCCACCCGGUACCUGCUCAAACAUAGGCCCGGAGGAGACGGCGCUGAGGCAGCUGAUGAGGUCACUUGCGGUUUCGUGGUCGAGACGCGCAUCGCCAAAUUCAAGUCGAGGCCUCCACCCGUCCCACCCGUGCCAGUGCGCAUCGACUCAUCAGCCCUGCAGACGCGCCGGGACUCUACCGCUGUGGCUUCAGUGGCCGUCCGCAGGGAGUCCACGGUCGUACCCUCACGGAGGGAGUCCAGCGUCGCCUAUCCAGAAUACCUAUAACCUUCCCUCCUUCACCCCCUUCCCUGGAAGUGCCAUAUUAACGGACUUUGGCAUAUCCGCGCGCACAAAGCGACCGCCUCAACACGGACUGAGUGGCAUACCCCAUAGAUAGCCACUGCUAGGGUCUCUCGGGUGACCGCGCUUGUUUCUCCGGACGCUGGCAGUCUUAUGGUGCUCCAGUACCUUCGGGCACAUCACUGGUCCCCCUUUUUUUAAGGCUUCGUUACGAGGGAGCCUUUGUGGGGAAGAUAAUGGAAAAGUACACAACGCCUUUACGGUAUGAUUUGGGCUUUCAGAAAGAGGCAAACGCGCACAAUACACGUCAUAUGCUGGCAAAGACAUUCCCUGGCAGUAGCUCUGCAUUACCAGCAGAAAAGUUACGAUGUUAGAUUCAAGAAUCACGAAUUCAGCAUGCAGACCAACGCCCAUGAAAGUCACCACCUAUGUGAAGUCUGCACACCACUAAAAUAAGCCUGAAUUGAACACCGUUGUGUGCCGCGUGACAAUGCAGCCUUCGGCGUUGCCAGAGUAUUUGAAAACAGAGUUAAAAAGCUGCAAAUAGCAUGGUUCUUAUGUAUUCUUUAAGGAAUCAAUAAGGUGGACAGGAGGACCAGUUGGUUGAAUAGUUUAUUAAAAGCUUUGAAGGUUAUUGUUGGUACACAUGGCCACGGAAGUGGGCACAUUUAGUGUGCAACAACUCGUGAACAGGCGUCCUAUGGGACCGUCGCCUUCACUGUGCACUGUGUAAGUAAUAUUUUGGUGUCGAAUUUGUUUCUCUUUGCCUUGUUUGCUGAUGUUACAAAUAAGACAAAAACAACAGCCGACACGGCAACGUUCGGCCACCAUGGUAUUUCUUUCAUGACCUUUUUUCCCCCUUUCUCUGUCCACUACG